rnacentral:rRNA from 1 species
CCUACGGGUGGCUGCAGUGGGGAAUAUUGGGCAAUGGGCGCAAGCCUGACCCAGCAACGCCGCGUGAAGGAAGAAGGCUCUCGGGUUGUAAACUUCUUUUGACAGGGAAGAGUAGAAGACGGUACCUGUCGAAUAAGCCCCGGCUAACUACGUGCCAGCAGCCGCGGUAAUACGGGGGAUGCGAGCGUUAUCCGGAUUUAUUGGGUUUAAAGGGUGCGUAGGCGGGCAUUUAAGCCGGGGGUGAAAGGUCGGGGCGAACCCCCGGCCUGCAGUUGAAACUGGGUGCCUUGAGUGGGCGAGAGGUAUGCGGAAUGCGUGGUGUAGCAGUGAAAUGCAUAGAUAUCACGAAGAACCCCGAUUGCGAAGGCAGCAUGCCGGCGCCCGACUGACGCUGAGGCACGAAAGUGCGGGUAUCGAACAGGAUUAGAUACCCUUGUAGUC